AGACACCCUUAUGGGGCACAAGACUUGCUUCAGUGGGGCUUUGGUGCUCACUGAGUCUGCCCCCUGAGUGUGUCCCU
rnacentral:pre_miRNA from 1 species